rnacentral:lncRNA from 1 species
GGUUCUUGAAAGAUUGAAAAAUGGAGUUUCCAGUCGUGUCCUUGCAUUUAUGCAUGAACUGUUCUAUCAAAGCUUCCGAAAUUUUAAUAUGCUGUUACUGAUGACAAAAUGGAGGUCAAGUUCAAUAAUGACGAUUUUGACUUUUACCGUUCAGGAGUUAUGGUUCUUGAAAGAUUGAAAAAUGGUGUUUCCCGUCGUGUCCGUGC